rnacentral:rRNA from 2 species
CACGCAGGCGGUUUGUUAAGUCAGAUGUGAAAUCCCCGGGCUCAACCUGGGAACUGCAUCUGAUACUGGCAAGCUUGAGUCUCGUAGAGGGGGGUAGAAUUCCAGGUGUAGCGGUGAAAUGCGUAGAGAUCUGGAGGAAUACCGGUGGCGAAGGCGGCCCCCUGGACGAAGACUGACGCUCAGGUGCGAAAGCGUGGGGAGCAAACA